UAGGGAAUCUUCCACAAUGGGCGAAAGCCUGAUGGAGCAACGCCGCGUGUGUGAUGAAGGCUUUCGGGUCGUAAAGCACUGUUGUAUGGGAAGAACAGCUAGAAUAGGAAAUGAUUUUAGUUUGACGGUACCAUACCAGAAGGGACGGCUAAAUACGUGCCAA
rnacentral:rRNA from 1 species